AACAGGAUUAGAUACCCUGGUAGUCCACGCCGUAAACGAUGGAUGCUAGCCGUUGGCAGGCUUGCCUGUCAGUGGCGCAGCUAACGCAUUAAGCAUCCCGCCUGGGGAGUACGGUCGCAAGAUUAAAACUCAAAGGAAUUGACGGGGGCCCGCACAAGCGGUGGAGCAUGUGGUUCAAUUCGAAGCAACGCGCAGAACCUUACCAACCUUUGACAUGUCCCGUAUGGGUUUCAGAGAUGAGAUCCUUCAGUUCGGCUGGCGGGAACACAGGUGCUGCAUGGCUGUCGUCAGCUCGUGUCGUGAGAUGUUGGGUUAAGUCCCGCAACGAGCGCAACCCUCGCCCUUAGUUGCCAUCAUUCAGUUGGGCUCUCUAAGGGGACUGCCGGUGAUAAGCCGCGAGGAAGGUGGGGAUGACGUCAAGUCCUCAUGGCCCUUACAGGUUGGGCUACACACGUGCUACAAUGGCGGUGACAGUGGGAUGCAAUGGAGCGAUCCUGCGCAAAUCUCAAAAAGCCGUCUCAGUUCGGAUUGCACUCUGCAACUCGAGUGCAUGAAGUUGGAAUCGCUAGUAAUCGCAGAUCAGCACGCUGCGGUGAAUACGUUCCCGGGCCUUGUACACACCGCCCGUCACACCAUGGGAGUUGGCUUUACCUGAAGACGGUGCGCUAACCAGCAAUGGGGGGCAGCCGGCCACGGUAGGGUCAGCGACUGGGGUGAAAGUCGUAACAAGGUAACC
rnacentral:rRNA from 1 species